rnacentral:rRNA from 1 species
UGCAAGUCGAACGGCAGCACGGACUUCGGUCUGGUGGCGAGUGGCGAACGGGUGAGUAAUAUAUCGGAACGUACCUUUCAGUGGGGGAUAACGUAGCGAAAGUUACGCUAAUACCGCAUAUUCUGUGAGCAGGAAAGCAGGGGACCUUCGGGCCUUGCGCUGAUUGAGCGGCCGAUAUCAGAUUAGCUAGUUGGUGGGGUAAAAGCUCACCAAGGCGACGAUCUGUAGCGGGUCUGAGAGGAUGAUCCGCCACACUGGAACUGAGACACGGUCCAGACUCCUACGGGAGGCAGCAGUGGGGAAUUUUGGACAAUGGGGGCAACCCUGAUCCAGCCAUGCCGCGUGAGUGAAGAAGGCCUUCGGGUUGUAAAGCUCUUUCAGCCGGGAAGAAAUCGCAUCAGCCAAUACCUGGUGUGGAUGACGGUACCGGAAUAAGAAGCACCGGCUAACUACGUGCCAGCAGCCGCGGUAAUACGUAGGGUGCGAGCGUUAAUCGGAAUUACUGGGCGUAAAGCGUGCGCAGGCGGUUUAGUAAGACAGGCGUGAAAUCCCCGGGCUCAACCUGGGAACUGCGUUUGUGACUGCUAAGCUAGAGUAUGGCAGAGGGGGGUGGAAUUCCACGUGUAGCAGUGAAAUGCGUAGAGAUGUGGAGGAACACCGAUGGCGAAGGCAGCCCCCUGGGCCAAUACUGACGCUCAUGCACG